UCCUACGGGAGGCAGCAGUGGGGAAUAUUGGACAAUGGGCGCAAGCCUGAUCCAGCAAUGCCGCGUGUGUGAAGAAGGCCUGAGGGUUGUAAAGCACUUUCAAUUGUGAAGAAAUGCUAAUGAUUAAUACUCAUUAGUCUUGACGUUAACUUUAGAAGAAGCACCGGCUAACUCUGUGCCAGCAGCCGCGGUAAUA
rnacentral:rRNA from 1 species